rnacentral:misc_RNA from 1 species
AAGUCGUAACAAGGUUUUCGUAGGUGAACCUGCGGAAGGAUCAUUAUAAAUAAAGCUGGUAGGAAGUGGGGUCUUGAUCUGUAAGUGGUAGAGCGAACAGUCCGGCUGCCUCCCGAAAUGUCUUACAUGUCCCCCACAGCCUGAAGGCCGAAUUACAACCCUUGAUUAUCUACACUUGUUUGCUUUGGGGUAGCUCAAGUGCCCAGAGGACCCAACUCAUCUGCAAUUGGACGUCUGAGUACUAUAUAAUAUUUAAAA